rnacentral:rRNA from 1 species
UACGAAGGGUGCAAGCGUUGUUCGGAAUUAUUGGGCGUAAAGCGCGUGUAGGCGGCAUGGCAAGUCGGGUGUGAAAGCCCUCAGCUUAACUGAGGAAGUGCGCCCGAAACUGCCGUGCUUGAGUGCCGGAGAGGGUGGCGGAAUUCCCCAAGUAGAGGUGAAAUUCGUAGAUAUGGGGAGGAACACCGGUGGCGAAGGCGGCCACCUGGACGGUAACUGACGCUGAGACGCGAAAGCGUGGGGAGCAAACAGG